CACGUAGGCACCAAGCGUUGUCCGGAUUUAUUGGGCGUAAAGAGCUCGUAGGCGGUUCAGUAAGUCGGGUGUGAAAACUCUGGGCUCAACCCAGAGACGCCACCCGAUACUGCUGUGACUUGAGUACGGUAGGGGAGUGGGGAAUUCCUGGUGUAGCGGUGAAAUGCGCAGAUAUCAGGAAGAACACCUAUGGCGAAGGCAGCACUCUGGGACGGUACUGACGCUGAGACGCGAAAGCGUGGGGAGCGAACAGG
rnacentral:rRNA from 1 species